rnacentral:rRNA from 1 species
UCGGAAUGAUUGGGCGCUAAGAGUCCGCUAGGUAGUCAUCCAAGAUCUGCUGAUUAAAGAGCGAGGCUUAACCUCGUAAAGGCAGUGGAAACUGGAAGACUAGAGUGUAGUAGGGGCAGAGGGAAUUCCUGGUGUAGCGGUGAAAUGCGUAGAGAUCAGGAAGAACACCGGUGGCGAAGGCGCUCUGCUGGGCUAUAACUGACACUGAGGGACGAAAGCUAGGGGAGCGAAUGGGAUUAGAUACCCCAGUAGUCCUAGCGGUAAACGAUGGAAACUAGGUGUGGCCUGUAUCGACCCGGGCCGUGCCGAAGCAAACGCGUUAAGUUUCCCGCCUGGGGAGUACGCACGCAAGUGUGAAACUCAAAGGAAUUGGCGGGGGAGCACA